rnacentral:misc_RNA from 1 species
AGAAUUUCCAAAUUUCUACCAAUUGAAGUUUCACACAAACAGGUUACAUAGCCAAAACUAACAUAAUUUUUCAAAUGAACUUCUAGGUUUAUCUAAAGACUUUAGGGUGUAUACUUUUAUUGACAACUCUGCAUUAUUUUUUUCCCUUUUAAUUCCUUAGAGAAUAUUUUAACUUUUUUUUGAGUUUGAAAUAGUUUUGAGGA